UUUGGCGGCCAUAGCGGCAGGGCAACUCCUGUACCCAUCCCGAACACAGAAGAUAAGCCUGCCCGCGUUCCUUAC
rnacentral:rRNA from 1 species